rnacentral:rRNA from 1 species
UACGUAGGGUGCAAGCGUUUGUCCGGAAUUAUUGGGCGUAAAGGGCUCGUAGGCGGUUUGUCGCGUCGGGAGUGAAAACCUCGGGCUUAACUCGGGGCUUGCUUUCGAUACGGGCAGACUAGAGGUAUGCAGGGGAGAACGGAAUUCCUGGUGUAGCGGUGAAAUGCGCAGAUAUCGGGAGGAACACCCGUAGCGAAGGCGGCACUCUGGGCCGGUACUGGACGCUGAGGAGCGAAAGCGUGGGGAGCAAACGGGG